UACGUAGGGGGCAAGCGUUGUCCGGAAUUAUUGGGCGUAAAGCGCGACGUAGGCGGCCCGUAUAAGUCCGCUGUAAAAGUCAACGGCUACAACUGUUGAAGCCGGUGGAUACUGUCGGGCUAGGAGUGCGGAAGAGGCGAGUGGAAGUCCUGGUGUAGCUGGUGAAAUGCGCAGAUAUCAGGAGGAACACCAAUUGCGAAGGCAGCUCGCUGGGACGUUACUGACGCUGGAGACGCGAAAGCGUGGGGAGCAAACAGG
rnacentral:rRNA from 1 species